GAGUUUGAUCAUGGCUCAGAACGAACGCUGGCGGCAUGCCUAACACAUGCAAGUCGAACGAUGGCUUCGGCCAUAGUGGCGCACGGGUGAGUAACGCGUGGGAACCUGCCUUUUGGUUUGGGAUAACUCCGGGAAACUGGAGCUAAUACCGGAUGAGCCCGAGCAAUCGGGGAAAGAUUUAUCGCCAAAAGAGGGGCCCGCGUCCGAUUAGGUAGUUGGUGGGGUAACGGCCUACCAAGCCGACGAUCGGUAGCUGGUCUGAGAGGAUGAUCAGCCACACUGGGACUGAGACACGGCCCAGACUCCUACGGGAGGCAGCAGUGGGGAAUAUUGGACAAUGGGCGCAAGCCUGAUCCAGCAAUGCCGCGUGGAUGAUGAAGGCCUUAGGGUUGUAAAGUCCUUUCGGCGGGGACGAUGAUGACGGUACCCGCAGAAGAAGCCCCGGCUAACUUCGUGCCAGCAGCCGCCGUAAU
rnacentral:rRNA from 1 species